rnacentral:lncRNA from 1 species
UCUUUUCUCUUUUCGUACUCUGCUGGACUUUCUCUGUACAACCUGUACACUGAACCUGCAAAACUGGGGUCAAGGGAGUGGGAUGAGCUCUAAAGCCCAGUGAGUAGAAUAGUAAAACAAGUCAUUUAACACAUGCUCUGAUGAAAUGCUUCAUAUCACAGACAAUCCACAUCAAAGGUAAACUCGUCACCACAUAGUCCCAGUAAACCGUGCCAGGCCGUAGACUGGGGUCCUAGUCUUCCUGUCCUGUAUAUGUAUAUGUGUAUAUAACACCUGUACUUACCAUUUGCAAGGGCGUAGACUGGGCACCUGGACUUUACUAUACCUGCCAGGCCAUAGAAUGGGGUCCUGGACUUUCCUAUACCUGCCAGGCCGUAGAAUGGGGUCCUGGACUUCCUGUCUGGAACUAUUGGAUCAUUCAGCAUUUACCCACAUCAACAAAUAAAUAUGCAAUGCAAUACCUUUGUGAGAUCUAAUGCAAUCCUCCUAUGCAUAAUCAUGGUGCAUGAGAUAUGCUAAAAGCAUUUAAAGUUUCAAUUAAAACAAGUAUUAGGUUUAGUUCCACUCACCUCUGGCUAUCUGGACUGACUCUGCAGGCUCUGAAAACUCUGGAGCAGUACUCACUGCCGCUCUCUCUGGUUCCUCUGGUCUGUGCCUACACAGAUUGACUCAUAUGAGGGACCAAAUUAGCUUAGAAUCAACUCUAUGAAACUCCCCAAAAAUCCCCUGACUCUCACUAAAACAUCCAUGCAAAGCAUGCAAAGGAAGGCUGGACAGAACACUUUCGGCGGCAGGUUCGGCGGCCGAAAGUCCUCUCCAGAGCCGAACCUCAUGCACUUUCGGCGGCCGAACCUCACUUUCGGCAGCCGAAAGUCCAAACUUGCGGAGGCAAAGUUCGGGGGCUGAAAGGCAUUCCAGAGCCGAAACUCCCUUCCUUCGGCGGCACCUUCGGCGGCCGAAACACCAGCCACAGUCGAAGGUUCAAACCUUCAGGGACAGGUGUAGGCAACCGGUACCACCUACUCAGCACCUUUGGCGGCCGAAGCUUCCUUCGGCAGCCGAAGCUGGGGUUUCCAGCAAGGCAGAACCUUGCGGUGUUCCUGCCAAAUCGCUCCAAAACUUGCCUAAACAUGCAAACCACGAUUUCUCUCCACACAUAUACUCCAGUAUAUGCCCAAAGGGGUCUCAAACUAUCUUAAAACCCCAUCAAACAACUCCCAUACAAGCUGUUGCACCAAGAACACAUAAAAGCUAGUUCAACCCUAAUAUAGAUUUCUACCCAUACAAACCCCAUAAAACCUUCAGAAAACAUAUAAAGAAGUUCAGGAGUGUCCCUUACCUCUUGGAACCAAGAAGUUGAACGUUCCGAACGUGGAGAAAGGAAGCAAC